rnacentral:lncRNA from 1 species
AUGAUGAGUCAAGCAGAAACUUUGUUGGGCAUACAAGGUUCGUCUCUUACAUUAUUAAAUUAUUGGCAUGCACCAUAUUUUUUAUGGACUUUUUAGAUUUUUUUUUUUUUUGUAUUACCAGCCUUGUGCAUAUUACAUGAGGACCAUAUUUGAACUUAACCAAAUUGGAGGUUAAUUCACACCUUGACAUAUGCAUAAACCAGAAAUUAGCUUGAUCU